rnacentral:rRNA from 1 species
UGGGGAAUUUGGACAAUGGGCGAAAGCCUGAUCCAGCAAUGCCGCGUGUGUGAAGAAGGCCUUCGGGUUGUAAAGCACUUUUGUCCGGAAAGAAAUCCUUGGCUCUAAUACAGUCGGGGGAUGACGGUACCGGAAGAAUAAGCACCGGCUAACUACGUGCCAGCAGCCGCGGUAAUACGUAGGGUGCAAGCGUUAAUCGGAAUUACUGGGCGUAAAGCGUGCGCAGGCGGUUUGCUAAGACCGAUGUGAAAUCCCCGGGCUCAACCUGGGAACUGCAUUGGUGACUGGCAGGCUAGAGUAUGGCAGAGGGGGGUAGAAUUCCACGUGUAGCAGUGAAAUGCGUAGAGAUGUGGAGGAAUACCGAUGGCGAAGGCAGCCCCCUGGGCCAAUACUGACGCUCAUGCACGAAAGCGUGGGGGAGCAAAACAGGAUUAGAUACCCUGGUAGUCCACGCCCUAAAACGAUGUCAAACUAGUUGUUGGGGGAUUCAUUUCCUUAGUAACGUAGCUAACGCGUGAAGUUGACCGCCUGGGGAGUACGGUCGCAAGAUUAAAACUUAAAUGAAUUGACGGGGUCAUAGCUG